AUUAUUUAUACUUCAUUUUUUUAAUUUAAAUUAAUUUAUUUUAAUUGGAGGCUAAUUACAAUAUUGUAUUGGUUUUGCCAUACAUCAACAUGAAUCCACCACAGGUGUACACGUGUUCCCCAUCCAUCCUGAACCCCCCUCCCACAUCCCUCCCCGUACCAUCCCUCUGGGUCAUCCCAGUGCACCAGCCCCAAGCAUCAUUUCUAAAUUACUUAUUGAGUGUGUAGUGUAUAUGCUGGGGAUAAGAUAAAAGGGUUUUCUCUAGACUGCCUGAGCUCAGGCUUCCCAGGUGGCGCUAGUGGUAAAGAACCCGCCUGCCAAUGCAGGAGACAGACUGACAGAGAACUAACCUGCUGGCCAGGGGUCAACUAGAAACAAAUUUGUUAGCUCCACCCUGAGGGUGGGAAGCUGGGGCCCAAGCUUUUCUCUUCUCUUGCAGCUACUUUCAUCAAUAUUUCCUCUGCAGCUGAACGGGCUGGCACGCAACCUGCAAUGAGGCUCCGCUCCGAAGAUGCCCACCUCUGCUGGACCUCCUGGCUCCUGGGAUUCAUCAGUCUCCUUCUCAUUUCCAGUCCUUUAGGCAUCUGCAGCACUGGGGCCAAGAGUCCUGGUGCAUGUGGUUCUGAAGUUCAGGAUCCUGGAGCCCGUGUUCCCCUGCAGGGGAUCCGAGGAGGGUCUGUGUUGUUUCAUGUGACCACGAAGCAAGAAGCUGAACCAGAGGAAGUCUCAUGGGCCUUUGGCUCUGAGUCAAACUACAGUGUCCUGCUGCGAGUCCAUCGUGUGGCAGACACUCCAACCUGGGUCAGCCUCCAGGACAAGUACCAGCAGAGGGUCCAUGUGCCCAACAUCCUGUCCCUGAAGAUUGAGAACCUGACCUGUGAGGACAGUGGACAGUACCGGGCUCGAGUCAGCUUCCCUGGAGGAGUCGAAUAUACCCAGGUUUUCCUCCUCACUGUCUAUGGUAAGUGACACCUCCUCACCAUGGCUUCCCUCCUGCUUUUGUCCUAGGAGGGUCACAUAGACCCCAUUUUGUAAGAUUUUAUUUAGACCCCAACCUUCAGACUCUGUCUUCUCACCCAACAAUAAGGUGUGUAUGUUAGCCACAAAAGGAGAACAG
rnacentral:lncRNA from 1 species